CUCGCAACCAGGGCCAAUUUUGCCUCUCUGCUGGGGACAGAUUGUCUGGAGACAUUUUUGAGUAUUACAGCUGGGGAACUGCUACUGGUAUCUAGUGCAUAGAGGUCAGGGUUGCUGAUAAAUAUCCGACAGUGCACAGGACAGCCCCUCUCAGCCAAGAAUCAUCCUGCUGCAAAUGACAAUUGUACCGAGGUUGAGGAAACCCUGGCCUGGGAGCUGAGAUGCCCUCAGUUCACUGGAUGUAUUAGGAGGGUAAGUCAUUGCAGCCUAUGAUGCCUCAGUUUCCUACUAAAAGAUCCAAGAAACCUAGAAUGUGACUUGGGAGCACCCAGUCCUGUCAAGCCAGCUAGGAGGAAGACGUGGACAGAACGGAGCGUCUGUUCUCGGCCUUUCCAGAAGAAAGGCUGCAGCUCUCAUCCAGCAGCGUGGAAUCCGGCUCUUGCAAGAAUGUGGCAUUCACUCCAAGACUGAGAAACAAAUAGGUGUUUUCCUGUUAUCCUCCUGUGGAGCUGCGCAAGUCAUUACACGGCAUUUUGAAGGAAGAAUGAUCGGUUAAUUUAUUCUGGCUGGAUGUGGAGCAAACCAGUGCCGGACACUGGGUGGAAAUCCGUACCUGUACCUCAUUAUCUCUAAUGGGAGUUUCAAAGGCGCUGGCGGAUUUAGUGUCCUAUUUGGUCUGAGUUGUAUAACACAUGUCAGUACGGGUGCUUCCUUGCUAUGUCAUUAAUAUUUAAAUAAUGUGAUUUAAAGGUCUAUCUGCACCUACAGCAAUAUUAAAAUACAUCAUUCAGGUUUUCUAGAUGGUUAUGCAAAGGACUAGGAGUGGCGACUUGCAGGAGACAGUGAAAAGUUAAUGGCCCUACCUAGAAGAGAGAAUUAGCCACAAAUAUUUUUAUUGUAUAAAUAUAAUUAAUAAAUUAAGAAGGUUGCAUCUUUUUUUUUUUUUUUUCCUGGUCAGAAAUCUACAUCCUUGUAUUGAAUUGUUGCAAAGAUGAACUACAGGGGAUGAGUUCUGCCUAGACUAGCUGGGAGUGAGCAGCAGAGGUUGGGGGACUUGCCUUCCCUUUACUGUCUCCCUUCUGAGGUUUCCAUCCCCUUUACCUCCGUGGUCCACCCUGGCCGCCUCUCCUGGGAGAUGCCUCGGCUGGAUGGCUCUACCACCUUUGCCUGCAGUGCACCUCAUUCCCAGCAGAGGGAGCUAGUCUCCACCGUUGUUGCUUUGGAAGGAAGCUCAUUAACAGAUUUACCAAUGAUGUUACUAAGGAAGGGGUAGUAAACAUUUGCCACUGUUUGGCCCCUCGCAUUCACCUGCCGCCCCCUCCUUCUAUCAUGUCUUUGUUCAACUGUAAAGCCAGGUGCCUGUCUCCCACCGUGGGUGACAGAAGCCCUGAGUUUUUCCUCUCUAAUUGAGGAGACAGUAUGCAAGAUAAACUCAUCUUAGGGUCCUCAUGCUGAGCAGGAGUUUCCUGCUUUUUGGAGCUCUGCAGCUUUCUUGGUUCUCUCUGUAACCAACCCCACUUUUACAGUGGUCCGUAGACUCGCUGAGCUUCCUACUGCUGUCGUGCUGUGGGCAAAGAAUUAGCACAUUGAACGGCCUAUCAGCAGAAUCCGUGCCUGAUUUAGGAAUGAGCCUUCCUAACGAUGCAGGACAAAUUGGUCAUGAAAUGCCUUCCAAACUGUGGUCGAAUUUACAACCAAGAGGAGGUGCUUUGGACAAAGAAUGUAGUUCGCCAUUCCAGUAAGUGAAUGUUGCCCACCAUCAAGCCAUGAGCCACUGCAGGCACCUUGAUGGUGCACCCUGAGGGGAAUACAGGAUGGAGAAAAACAGGAUGCUGGCCCUAGAUAGUUAAGGUGCAUAUCCAAGAAAUAAUUUUAAUGAGCCUAGACUCUUGCAGAGCGCACCCUCCUUACCCCUUUCUGUCUACAGAUUUGUGGGUCUGCCCUGUGUGUGGGUGCACAGAAGCUCAAACAGGGAUGAGAGAUGGUCCUCCCUGAUGGUAGCAAAUUGGAUUGUACUGUUUAUGCCUGAAGGUGACACUUCAUCAAUACUGGAAGAAGCAGAAAAUCUACAGGAGCUGAUCUGCCCAAGUUGUUGCCAGGGAUGAGGAAGGGAACCCUGAACAAGGAUGUUUGCAGGCAGCAGUGAGAGGAAAACAAGCUUUUUCUUGCUUGUACCCUACCAGUUAUUAUACUGGUUUCACUUAAUUUACCCUUAUGAGUUAACAGAGUCAGUUUCCUACUCUUGAAACCAAAGCUCUGUACACACUAUAAGUGUGUCAUGCCUCGCAGAGGUAUUUGUGUUGCAACGCAGGAUAACUUUUUAAAUUCAAGGUUAGAUUUUCCUGGCAUCACAGGUAGGAGUGUGGAAAGAGGAGAAUGACAUACUCCUUCACAAGAUGAAACACAGUGAGUUCCCCCAGGUUUGGGCUGCAUCCUUGCUGGAUGCUGUCAGACAGAGGGCCUGGUGGGAAGGUCCACUACCAUGGCCACCUGUGGCCAUCUUGAUGGCUUUAAUCAUGACCCUGUUUCCAGGUCACUUAAUGACUCCAAAACUAGUUCUCUUAUCUAUAAAGUGAGAAUAAUAACAACUCAUAGAAUUGUGAGAAUUCAAUGAGGUGACACAUGUGAAAUAGCUUUUUAAACUGUAAAGGGGUGUACAAAUAGGAAAGAUUUUUUCUUAAUUUAAUUUUUGAAUAGAUACCACAUUUAUAGCAUAUGUGGUUUAAAAUAUUUUAAAAGACAUAAAAAGAAAGUUCCCUCUUACUCCUGCCCCUCAAGCACCCAGGUCUCAUCCCAAUCUCUUCCAGGUCUACACUGUUUUUAGUCUCUUUAUGCAUAUGCAAACAAAACCCAACAUAUAUUCUUAUUUUCUCCCUCAUUUUACUCAAAGGUAGAGUUAUUCUUCUGUAACUUGCUUUUUUCUAUCUAGUUAAAUAUAUAUCUUUUCACAACCUGGCAAAAACACUUGAAUUUGUUUCUAUACCAAUAUAUAGCUCAUUCUUUUUCUUUUUUAACAGCUGGUUUAGUGAGUUCUCUAUUGAUACAUAUCUGGGUUGUUUCCAAUAUUCUUCUAUUCAGAUAAGUCUGCAAAGAGGCAGUGUGUGUGUGUGUGUGUGUGUGUGUGUGUGUGUGUGUAUGCGCGCGCACAUGCGUAUAUGUAUGUAUAUUUACAUAUUGAAAUUCCUCUGUCAAAGAGGGAAGAGUUUUUCUUUCUUUGCUGGUGCAGGUGCCCUGGUUAGAACAGGAAAUCUUAGGCAGAGCUCUCCUUCUGUAACUCUCACCAAGCUCUGAUUAUUUGGCCCUGGACAAGAACGGAUGGAGCCAGAGGUCAGUUCUCUGUAGCUUUUAAAUUUGAGGAAACAGAAGGCAAGCGGGAAGCCUGGGUCUAGAGUUGGAUUUCUCUCCUCAGGACGUGAUGACUUGCCCCUAUGGAAAAGGGACCGAUGUUGCUUCUUUUCCAUAUUUUGAAGCACUUUUCUCAACCAAGGAAUGGGGAUAUGAGCCCUCACCCCCAGCACCGAGCUCCCAGCACAGCUCACUCCGUAACGUUAGCCACACGGCUGUCCUGUCAGCGGGGUAUCUGAUGGACCUUCGCUCCAUUCAAUUCACUGUUACAGAGUGAAAUACGACAGGUGCCAGAGGAGAGGGAGCGGAACAAGUCCAUGUGUGUGUGGCCAUCGUUCACAGUUUGUGGUCUCAGAGGCCCAGUGACUCCACUUCCUAGUUGUCUCGGUGGGUGUCAUGUCGCAGUGAUGCUGAGAGAGCAUCAACCCGCUCCCCGCAGCUGAGCACAACCUGGUCAGACACUGACCCUUCUGUUGCUUGUUGGAAGGCAGCCGCUGCGAAACAGCAGAGCGUGUUCGGGGCGACGUGGAGCAGUCACUGUGCAGAGGAAAUGCUGUUUGUAGAGACGGGCGGAGGUAGCUGCUGAGAAGAGCCAGGCGGGACUGGAUUGUGACAAGUCUUGAUCGCUAAGUUCAAGCUUUCAAACUAUUCCAAAAGCUACGGGUUCCGUUGGGGAUUUUAAGUAAGCGUGUAACCCCAAACGCGCUUGCAUUUGCCUGUAGAAAGAGCACUCUGGCACCAGCGUGGCGAUGGAUGGAAGCGGAAGACCCUGGGCGGGGAGCGCGGUGAGGGCGCCCCCCUAAGGCGGGAGGUGGCAAUGCAGGCUGCGACCCACUGGGAAGCGCAGGGCGUGGGAACCGUGAGGGGUAGGAGAGGGCAGAGGGCGGGCUCUGGGAUGACCGCCCGGUUUCCGGCUCUGUUGGCCACGUGGGUGGUGGUGCCAUUUAUUGAGCUGUACGCCCAGGAAAAGAAGCCGGUGCUGCGUGAGGGCUGAAGGUUCCGUUUGGCGGCGAGCUUGAGUUGCUGCAGAGACAUCGAAAUGGAGACGUCCAGCGAGCGGGCAGUUUGACAUGCGAGUCUGGCUUGGGAGAGAGAUCAGGACUGGCAAUUGUACGGAUCAGCCUCCUCUACAUUUUUUUGCCCCUGUUAUUUAUUUUUCUGGGAAUGUUCCUUUCUUUUUUUCCUGUCUGCAUCCUCUCUCGCCCCCUCAAAACUGCCUUUCCCUUACAGUGGAGACCAUGCCAGCCAAGAUGUAAAACCUCCUGGGAGGCUGUUUCUCAGCUAGUGGGCCCUUGGUGACGGUAACCACCUGCUGGCUGAAGUGGAGCCUGGCCUGCACAUUUGAAAGUAAUGUUAGCAGUUCUAGUCUCUGACGGAUGCCGAGUCCACGACUUACAACCGCAAGCAGAUGCCCUGGUAAGGAACCCACUGCUAGAGAAGAAAGCAAAAGCCCCUUCCAUGUGUCGUCUUCUGGAACACUGCAGAAAAAGCACCGUGGCAUAAAUCACUCCAAAUUCAUCAGCUCUGGCGUACCAUCAAAGAAGAAGAAAGACUUCUAAUGGGGACCUUGUGGACUCCCUCUUGCAAGACCACCGGAAUCACAACUAACUGCUGAACAAUCAUUGACAAGAAGACACUGGAACUCACCAAAAAAGAUACCCCACAUCCAAAGACAAAGGAGAAGUUGCAGUGAGAUGAUAGGAGGGGUGAAAUCACAAUAAAAUCAAAUCCCAUAACUGCUGGGAGUGUGACUCACAAACUGGAGAACAUUUAUACCACAGAAGUCCACCCACUGGAGUGAAGGCUCUGAGCCCCACGUCAGGCUUCCCAACUUGGGGGUCCAGCAACAGGAGGAGGAAUUCCCAGAGACUCAGACUUUGAAGCCUAGUGGGAUUUGAUUGCAGGACUUCGACAGGACUGGGUGAAACAGAGACUCCACUCUUGGAGGGCACACACAAAAUAGUGUGUGCAUUGGGACCCACGGGAAGGAGCAGUGACCCCAUAGGAGACUGAAGCAGACCUACCUGCUAGUGUUGGAGGGUCUCCUGCAGAGGUGGGGGGCAGCUGUGACUCACCAUGAGGACAAGGACACUGGCAGCAGUUCUGGGAAGUACUCCUUGGCUUGAGCCCUCCCAGAGUACGCCAUUAGCCCCACCAAAGAGCCUGGGUAGGCUCCAGUGUUGGGUUGCCUCAGGCCAAACAACCAAUAGGGAGGGAACUCAGCCCCAGCCAUCAGCAGACAAGCAGAUUAAAGUUUUACUGAGUUCUGCCCACCAGACUGCCAUAUAUACACUAAUAUGUAUAAAAUAGAUAACUAAUAAGAACCUGCUGUAUAAAUGAAAAAAACAACAACAAAGGAACUUGUGUACAUUGGUCUCACCCAGAUAAUCCAGGACAAUCUCUUUAUCUUAAGGUUGGCUGAAUAGCAAACUUAAUUCCAUCUGCAACCUUGAUUCUCCCUUGCCAUUGAACAUACUGUAUUCACAAGCUCUGGGUAUUAGGAUGUGGGCAUCUUUAGGGCCACUAUUCUGACCACCACAACAGUACAGUGAGUAGAACCUCAUGGGUGUCCAAUAAAGAGCUGAUACAUUGAAGUUCCCUUUUAACUCUGACUGUCUGUGAAAUUAAAAAAAUAUGUAUAAUAUAAAACAAUGCAACACACACACACAAAAUCUGACCUUUAAAUACAGAUUCAACUUUGAGCCAGAUGCCCAUUUAACCUUUGGGAAAUUGACGUUUGACGCUAAGUACAGGACUUGGCAUUUGACUGUCUUAUAGUUUUGAACACAGGUAUCAGUAUCAAAGAAUCUUCUUUAAAUGCUUUGCUUCAGUUGAGAAUUUGGUGAGCAUGCUUUGUUGCCAAUACUCAAAUCAACGAUGAAAAUAUUGAGCAGGCCAGGCCUCACGUCGAAGUCUUGAAGAGUUCUCCUGGAGGCUUUUCUUGGCCCUGAAACUGAUCAUUCAUCAAUACUUGCAUCUGACCUGAGAGAUAGAAGGAGAGGGGGAAGAGAGAAAGACAAGAGGAGAGAGAGAAUGACUAAGAACAAGCUGCACUUCUGAGAAUAUGACACAAAGCAGAUGUUUUUUCUGGGGAUUGGUGUCUUGGAAAAAAAAUGGAGUUAUAAUAAGGCCACUUUUUAAUAAAUAUUUGCUAUUAUUAUUAUUCUACCUAUUUUCAGCAUUUCUCAUAGACUAAACCUGGAGCUACGUAUAAGACUCUUGCUGUUUCAUGUUGGAAAAUUCGCCUCCCCUGCCGAUGAGGUUAAAGAGCUAAAUCCCUGGCUACUCAGGCAGCUUGUGAGCCUGCAGUCAGGGCAGUGCCUAGUUCCCUGGCACCUUGACUGCAAGAGAUUUGGAAGAAGGGUCAACAGCAGCACAAAAGGAUCUGGGAGCUCAGGUCGCAUCUUCAGCAGCAACACAGAGGAGGAUGACAUAGGGUCAGAGUUAGGGAUCAUGAGGAUGUUUUGCCUCUAGAUGCAUGACUGAAUCAUGUGGUUGCCCACUGACAUCUGAAGUCACAGUGAUUCAAGCAGGAGGAUGGAGAGGACUGCCUGCUGGGUUGACCACGAGCGACGUCCACCAUGCCUCCUACGCACACUCCCUUCCCUGCCUGCCGUCUCCCCACAUGCCUCAUCUGCAACCUGUGCCUCUGAUCUUUGUUUUCUUCCAGAGGUCAGAAUCCCCAGUACACUGGUAGUUCUAAAGGGUUAAGAAGGAACCCCCUACAACAUGUUUUCUUUGCAUCUUCUGUCUUCCCCAAU